AUUGAACGCUGGCGGCAGGCCUAACACAUGCAAGUCGAACGAGUGGCGGACGUGUGAGUAAUGUCUGGGACUCUGCCUUUUGGAGGGGUAUAACUUCUGGAAACUUUCGCUUAUACCGCAUACUAUCAUAUGCGCCGAUAGGGGAUUAGCUUGUUGGUGGGGUAACGGCUCACCAAGGCGACGAUCCAUAGCUGGUCUGAGAGGAUGAUCAGCCACACUGGAACUGAGACACGGUCCAGACUCCUACGGGAGGCAGCAGUGGGGAAUAUUGGACAAUGGGCGCAAGCCUGAUGCAGCCAUGCCGCGUGGAUGAAGAAGGCCUUCGGGUUGUAAAGUACUUUUAGCGGGGAGGCGUUACCCGCAGAAGAAGCACCGGCUAACUCCGUGCCAGCAGCCGCGGUAAUUC
rnacentral:rRNA from 1 species